rnacentral:rRNA from 1 species
CGUGGUUAACCUGCCCUUGGGACGGAAACACCCCCGGGAAACUGGGGCUAAUUUCCGAUAGGUGAAGGCUCCUGGAAUGGAUCUUCGCCUAAAGGGCGCUUAGGCCAUGCUUCUAAGCGCUGCCCAAGGAUGGGACCGCGGCCGAUCAGGUUGUUGGUGAGGUAAUGGCUCACCAAGCCUUUAACCGGUUCGGGCCGUGGGAGCGGGAGCCCGGAGAUGGGCACUGAGACAAGGGCCCAGGUCCUACGGGGCGCAGCAGUCGCGAAAACUCCGCAAUACGCGAAGGCGUGACGGGGCUAUCCCGAGUGCCGUCCGCUGAGGAUGGCUUUUCUCCAGUGUAGAUAGCUGGGGGAAUAAGGAGAGGGCAAGUCUGGUGUCAGCCGCCGCGGUAAUACCAGCUCUCCGAGUGGUGGGGACGUUUAUUGGGCCUAAAGCAUCCGUAGCCAGCUGAGCAAGUCUCCAGUUAAAUCCAGCGAUUUAAUCGUUGGACUGCUGGGGAUACUGUCCGGCUAGGGGGUGGGAGAGGCCGACGGUAUUCCCGGGGUAGGGGUGAAAUCCUAUAAUCCCGGGAGGACCACCAGUGGCGAAGGCUGUUGGCUAAAACAUGCCCGACGGUGAGGGAUGAAAGCUGGGGGAGCGAACCGGAUUAGAUACCCGGGUAGUCCCAGCUGU